AAACUUGAUUCAACAGUACACAUACUAAAAUUGGGAUGAUACAAAGAUUAGCAGGGUUCAUAUGCGCAAGGAUGACACCCCAAAUUAUGUAGCGUUCCUUGCUUUU
rnacentral:snRNA from 1 species